rnacentral:rRNA from 1 species
UGUAUGAAGUUGGAAUCGCUAGUAAUCGCGGAUCAGCAUGCCGCGGUGAAUACGUUCCCGGGCCUUGUACACACCGCCCGUCACACCAUGAGAGUCGGGAACACCCGAAGUCCGUAGCCUAACCGCAAGGGGGGCGCGGCCGAAGGUGGGUUCGAUAAUUGGGGUGAAGUCGUAACAAGGUAAC